GUCAAAAAUUUCAGGGCUUCGGGAGCCGCAAGAGGAACUACGAGCACAAGAAAUGCAGAGUUUAUGGCGCACAGAGACGCUGUAUCGCCCUCCAGGCUCCAGGCCUUUCAGCACGUAUUCCACUGUGUUGUUCUGCGUGGUCAGCUUGUAGUCCCGCUCCACCUUACGAAUCACAUCCCGCAUGUGUAUUGCAUAUGUCUAAAGAAACAAGAAGGGAAUCCACGAUCAGGUGGAUGUUAAAAGCGGUGACGUAUCAGGUGAGACAGGUGUGUACCAAAGGUUUGCUCGGGCUGUCAUAGGGGGGCUGCCACUUGAGCGUAGCCUGAGUUUUGUCGAC